AUUCCAGCUCCAAUAGCGUAUAUUAAAGUUGUUGCAGUUAAAAAGCUCGUAGUUGGAUUUCUGGUUUGAUGCCCUGGCCCGCUGCUAUUUUGGUAGUGUGUGCCGGUUGUGCGUCUGCCAUCCUUCUAGGGAACGUUCCUUCUCUUCACUGAGCCGGGUUCGUGAUCUAGAUCGUUUACUUUGAAAAAAUUAGAGUGUUUAAAGCAGGCUUUUGCUAUGAAUACAUUAGCAUGGAAUAAUAAUCUAGGACUUCGGUCAUAUUUUGUUGGUUUCUGUAACUGAAGUAAUGAUUGAUAGGGAUAGUUGGGGGUGCUAGUAUUGAGCGGCCAGAGGUGAAAUUCUUGGAUUCGCUCAAGACUAACUUAUGCGAAAGCAUUCACCAAGGAUGUCUUCAUCG
rnacentral:rRNA from 1 species